ACAACCUUUGGACCGUUGAACUACCGAGAAAUUUCACCCGCUCGGUAGAAGAUCUUCCCUUUGACGU
rnacentral:pre_miRNA from 1 species